rnacentral:rRNA from 1 species
CACGUAGGGCGCAAGCGUUGUCCGGAAUUAUUGGGCGUAAAGAGCUCGUAGGCGGUCUGUUGCGUCUGCUGUGAAAACCCGGGGCUUAACCCUGGGCCUGCAGUGGGUACGGGCAGACUAGAGUGCGGUAGGGGAGACUGGAGUUCCUGGUGUAGCGGUGAAAUGCGCAGAUAUCAGGAGGAACACCUGCGGUGUAGACGGCUUUCUGGACCAUUGCUGACGCUGAGACACGAAAGCGUGGGUAGCAAACAGG